GUGAAAUUUUCGAAUGUUUACAGAGUUUAUUUAACAAUUAUAAAGAAUAAAAAGUUAAUUUUAGAUGAUUGAGCAUAUGAAUGCAUCGAUUUCUUACGAAAGUCUGAUUAAAUCGAGGAUAAAUAUUGGAGACUUUUAAUUAAGAUUAUAUAUUCGUCAUCCGCAAGUUAUAAAAAGCAAAUAUAAUUUUAUAAAAAAUGAUUUACAAAUUAUUAUGUCUACUUCUUGGGAACCUGAUGAGCGUAUGGUUAACCGCUUGUCUCUACAAUGAUUGUGAAUUUCUGCCUGAAUUUACAGACUCAUGUAACAAGGGUCCUGACAAUCUUACGUGUGAAGAUUCCAAAUGUGUCGCAAGUAGUUGAAAAAAUUACCGG